UUUCGGUAUAGAGGUACGGAAGAACGUACCGGUUUCCGUAGGUGUACCGUUGCAUCAGCGGACUCGCCCCGGCGUCCGGACGGCCUCGCGCCGCCCGCGGCCCGGACCCAGGCGGCCGCCGGAGACCCCCAAACUCUGUAUUAUCAGCAUUUUCUGAAUCCGCCGCAAGGCAAAACAAAUGAAUCAAAACUUUCAACAACGGAUCUCUUGGUUCUGGCAUCGAUGAAGAACGCAGCGAAAUGCGAUAAGUAAUGUGAAUUGCAGAAUUCAGUGAAUCAUCGAAUCUUUGAACGCACAUUGCGCCCGCCAGCAUUCUGGCGGGCAUGCCUGUUCGAGCGUCAUUUCAACCCUCGACUUCCCUUUGGGGAAAUCGGCGUUGGGGAACGGCAGCAUACCGCCGGCCCCGAAAUGAAGUGGCGGCCCGUCCGCGGCGACCUCUGCGUAGUAAUCCAACUCGCACCGGAACCCCGACGUGGCCACGCCGUAAAACACCCAACUUCUGAACGUUGACCUCGGAUCAGGUAGGAAUACCCGCUGAACUUAAGCAUAUCAAAGCCUGGAAGGGAA
rnacentral:rRNA from 1 species